ACACAGCACCAGAAGAAGAGGCAGGUGGGUUUGUGGUAAGACGCAGCUUCCACUUCCUUUCUGGUUUGCUUGUUUUUGCCAAGAGAAUGUGGAAUGUUUCUGCAUGACUCAAAACUGGAGCCCCCAGUACAGAUAAACAGACUUUAAUCUGAUUCUGUCCUGGGCCAGCCUGGCCCAUGAGCUUUCCUGAGAGGUCAGGAGGUGGGAACUAGAGGCUUCCUUUUUGAAAAGAUGUCAGAAAAGACACAGUGUGGAUCAGUCCUAGCUCUUCUAAGAACAAAAAUCAGCUGGUCUUACAACCACAGAAUCAUUUGGGUCUGAAGGGAUCUUUAAAGAUUAUCCAGCUGAAGCUCCCUUCCACAAGCAGGAACAUUUUUCACCAGACCAGGUUUCUCAAAACCCCACCCACCCUGGCCUUGGACACUUGAGGGAUGGGGCAUCCACAAUUUCUCUGGGCAAUCUGUUCCAGUGCCUCACCAUGCUCAUGAAGAAGUUCUUCCUUGUAUUUAAUCUAGAUCUACCUUCUUGUUUAAAUUCAUUGCCCUUUGUUCCAUCACUACAGGCCCGGGUAAAAUGUCUUUCUCCCUCUUGGUUAUAAAAUCCUCUUUAAGUACAGAAAGGCUGCAUUAAGAUCUCCCUAGAACCUUCUCCAGGAUGAACAGACAUGACUCUCUCAGCCUUUCUCCACAAAAGUGUUCCAGCCUUCUGAUCAACUUUUAGCCCUCCUGUGGACCCUCUCCAAGAGGUCUGUGUUUUGUGCUAGGGGCUGCAGAGCUGAAUGUUGUACUCCAGGUGGGGUUUCACAGGAGCAGAGUGGGACAAUCCCCUCUCCUGACCUGCUGGUCACACUUCUGAAGUACUUCUGAUGCAUAUGGUUGGCAUUAUGGGCUGCAGGUGCACCUGGGUCAUAUUCAAUUGUUCAUCCACCAGUAUUCCCAAAUCCCUUUCCUCCAGGCUGCUCUGGAUCCAUUCAUCCCCAGCCUGUACUGAUAUUGAGGACUACCCCAAGCCAGGUUUAGCACUUGGCCCUGUUGAAUUUAGUGAGGUUUACAUGGGUCCACUUCUCUGUAUGGCAUCCCUGCCCCUGCUGAAUCCAGGGCACCACUCAGCCUGGUGUCCUCUGAGGAAUUCCUGAGCGUGACUCAGUCUCACUCUCUGUGUCAUUAUUAAAGAUACUGAGCAGUACUGGUCCCAGUGCUGGAUCUUGAGGGACACCACUUGUUGACAAUCCCCAUUGGGAUGCUGAGCCAUUGACUGUAUUUGGAUCCCAUCCAGCCACUUCUUUAUCCAUCAAAUACUCCAUCAAUCAAAUCCACCUCUCUCCAAAUUAGAGGUAAGACUGUUGUGUUGGACCAUGCCAAAGUCAAUACAGAAGUCCAGGUAGUUGACAGGUAGCUUACUUUCCCUUAGGUUGGAGUGGGUUCAGCCUGCCCUGCAUUUCCCAAGGAUAUCAGAGGUCAUACCUGCAUUUCAGUUUGUGCCUGGUGGGAUCCCCCUUGCCUGGAGGCUCUCUGCAGGCACAGGUCCAGCCUUGCUGGCUCUGGACUCUUUCCUGCAACUGAGAAACGGUCCAGCCCACGGCAGGGAAGGAGUUAAGUGCUUGACCAGCUGCUGUCUGUGAGGCACUGAAUUCCUUCUCCGUGCAAUCCAGCAGCCAGUGUCAGGACAGCUAUAUUUAGAAAGCUGAUAAAGGUUUGGUGCCAACAGUUGUCCUGCCCCUCGAUGAAGAAGCAGUAGAGAGACUGAGAAGGGGGCAGCUGGUUGCUUUCCCCCCCAGUACCGCUCCUUGCUGUCUUCAGUGGACUCCUUUGCCGUGCUGCCAGCAGGGACCCCCAGUGGAGCCAUCAGGCACAGGGGUAAGUUCCCUUUCCUUGCUCACCCUUCUCCCUGCUCACUGCCCUGUGAGUGACCACGCGGCCGCCAUCCUCCGGCCUGAGCCCGUGGGAGCUGCCGCCGCUCCUGUGGCACUGAGGCAAGCGUCCCUCUGCCUGGGCCAGGGCAAGUGUUGGCUGCGGUGUUUCCACGUUCCUCACUGAGCUGUGGUGCCCUCACCCAGUGUAAGAACAGCAGCCUCCACACAAAUGAUUACAAGGACAAAGUCCCAAGCCUCCAAGCUCCUUUGGCCUUAAGCGUUAGGAGCAUUUCAUUUUGGGGACACGAGGUCUCAUGUUUCUUGCCCCUGACCCUCCUUCCAGCCUGGCUCUGGCUGUGUACAGCUCCUUCCAGCCACCACACGCAGUCAGGCGAGUAUAGAGUUUCUGCCCUGCCACCCCUUCCUUCCUGGCCUUCCAGCACCCUUACUCAUAGGCAAAAGAGCAUUGGAGCUCGCUGGGCAGCAGCCAGGGAGCUGCAUGAGGCCCUGGGAAUGGCAGGAGCCCUGGAAGAGGAGCCAGUGCAGCCCUUGUGGAAAGGGUUCCUCACAGGAGCCAAGUGUGGGAGCCCUUCUGCUGCACCCCCCUGCCCCUUGUGCCCCAGAGCCAGGGAACGGCCUCCUGUGCAGCCCUGUGUAAUGGCUCUCCCUGCUGCCCUGCUCCUUGUAGGGGUCCCCAGCGGCCGCCAUGGCCAGCGGCAGAGAUUCGGACAGCGAGCCGGCGGUGCCCGAGGAGCAGGAGGCGGAGGGCCCGGACGUGAGGGCCGUGCAGGCCCACUACCUGCGCAGCCCCUCGCCCAGCCGGUAUUCAGUGAUAUCAGACACUGAUACAGAGAGCAUCCUCAUGGAGCCAAUCCAUCUGUCAUCUGCUGUAGCUGCCAAACAAAUCAUCAGUGAAGAGCUGAAGACAAAGGACGUCAGGGUGGACUCGGUGUGUCCCAGGAUGUUGGAGUCUGCGCAGCAGCUGAUGGUGGAAGACCUGUACAACCGAGUUAAGGAAAAGAUUGAUGACACCAGCUUGUUUAACACGCCGUGUGUGAUGGACUUGCAGAGGGCACUUGUGAAGGACAGGCUGGAGACCCCCAGGGACGCUGUGGAUGAAGUCUGGCCUAAUGUCUUCAUAGCAGAAAAAAGCGUUGCAGUGAACAAAAGCCGUUUGAAGAGACUGGGGAUCACCCAUGUCCUGAAUGCAGCUCAUGGCACAGGUGUCUAUACAGGGCCCAGUUUCUACAAUGGUCUCAAUAUCCAGUACCUGGGCAUUGAAGUGGAUGAUUUUCCAGAUACAGAUAUCUCCAAACACUUCCGCCCAGCUGCAGAGUUCCUUGACGAAGCCCUGCUGACUUACAGAGGCAGAAUCCUUGUCAGCAGUGAGAUGGGGAUCAGCCGCUCCGCUGUGCUGGUGGCUGCCUACCUGAUGAUCUACCACCACAUGACCGUUCUGGAGGCUCUGAUGACGCUGAGGAAGAAACGCGCCAUCUACCCCAACGACGGCUUCCUGAAGCAGCUGCGGGAGCUCAAUGAGCAGCUCUUGGAGGAGCGAGAGCUGGAGCGUGCUGGAGAUGAGGACGUGACUCCAAGCCAAAGCCCUCUGGCCUAUGCGGGGACUUCUUCACGGCUGUCUGGAGCUGGGGACUCAGGGAGCAUCAAGGGAGCCAAAGCUCACUCCAUCACAGUAGAAGAAGAGGACACCAGCAGCAUUCUGGGUAGUUUUAUGAGCUCUUCAUCCGUGGAAAAAACUAGCUGGGUUUCCAAACACUCCACCCUGAUCACUGAGGAGGAAGAGGAACAAUUGUAUGAGGAAUGGAGGAGGAAACAAGGCCUAUCUACAAAGGAAGCAGGAGUUCACCAUGAAAGAACAUCUCCAAAGCAUCUGGAUCAGGAAGAGGAACAAUCUGAUGAGGAUGUGGAACGGAGGAUCCAUGAUUGGCAGCGCAGAAAUGAGAAAUACCAGAUGUCAGGUACAGCCAGGGAGGAGGAUGGUGAAUGCAGCAUGGGAGGAAGACCCUACCCAUCAGGUGAAUUCAGUGAUGUUGAGAGUGUGAGCAGUUUUGAGAUCCGAACCCUAAAAAAGCAGCUGGAAGCCAGUAGCUUUAGCAGGAUGAGGAGGAGCCGCACAGACUCUACAUCUUCUGAGAGCACCUGGGACAUGUGGAAUCAGAGGCUUCUGGAGAUUGAGAAAGAAGCUGCUCAGAGGUAUCAUUCUAGGAAUAAAAGCUGUGGGGAGAGACAAUCCCCAGAAACGGGAAGAAAGGAGAGGGAUGUGGAUGAGGAGAGUGUGUUUUCAGACUCCUCCUGUAGCUCCUUCUACAAUUUCUGCCAAAAGAACAAGGACAAGUUGACUCCUCUAGAAAGGUGGAAGGUCAAGAGGAUCCAGUUUGGCUUUCACAAGAAGGAUUUAGAACCAUCAUCUGCACCAUCUCCAGCAGAGGAUGGCAGCCAGGCAGGUCAGGAGGAAACAGAAGGGAGGAGUUUGUCAGAUAUUGAUCUGACUGCUUACCAGGCUUGGAAAAUGAAGCGGCAGAAGAAGGUAGGCAGUGAAAGCAGCAAGGAGGAAUUUGUGGAAUUUGCCAAAACUGAGGAUUCUGCUUCAGCUAAAAAGAAGCAGAGGCGUAUAGAGCUCCUUGAACGUUCAAAGAAAAUUUUAGAAGAAAGCCAGUCCAUGUGCAGCUGGGAGACAGAGAGUACAAUGAGUGGGAGUAUUCCCCUCUCAGCUUUCUGGUCUUCAGCGCCUUCUGCAAACGGUGCCGACGAUGCAGCUUCUGCCCUGAGCAUGCAGACAAAUCAUUCAUCUUUGUCACAGGCCAGGAGUUGUGCUGGAGCAAUGCAGAUGCCAAAUAUACCCCUUCCCAAUCUCACAGUUGGCCCAGGUGACACGAUAUCCAUGGCAAGCAUUCAGAACUGGAUCGCUAACGUGGUCAGUGAAACCAUUGCUCAAAAGCAAAAUGAGAUCCUGAUGCUGUCCCGGCCAUCGUCCGCCAUGGCCUCCCUGUCAGGAGACCUUGGCAGGCGUGCAGAUGAUGACAAGGUUUCUCUUCUCAGUGCUCAGAGUGGCUCAUCCCUCGCUGCCUCCCAGCUCCACCAGCAGGACCUGCGCAGGGCUGAGUCUCAGUCUGUGCUGUCUUGCAACACGUCCGUGAGCGCAAGGACAGAAGGGACUACUUCAAACUUGAAGACCCAGACAAGCAAACCACUGUACAGCCUCUUUGCUGAUGAUGUUGACCUAAAGAAGCUAAGGAGGAAGGAGAAGGAGAUGCAAAUGGAAAUGAGAGAAAAAAUGUCAGACUAUCAAAUUGAAAAGGUGAUUAGAGACAAUAAACGCAGCACUUUAUUCAAAAAAAAGGUGACCAAAGCAGAGGAAAAUGAAACAGAAGAUGACAGAGAGAGUACAACAAACAGCCACAGGCGUCCCUUGCAAGCAGAUUUUGACAGAACUGAUGCAGUCUUUGAUCUGUCCAGUCAACCUGGAACCUCAGGUGUACCAAAGUCAGAGGUAGAUACUGAUAUUACCAAGUGGCUGAACGGCCUCAAAGCAGAAAGAGAACCACCAUCAUAUUAUGAUCAGACUGAGAACGCUAGAGAGAAAUAUAGCAGAUCAUCCAGAGUUAGACAGAUGGAUUCUGAGACAUCCAGUUACAGAUUCUGCAGAUCCCAAAGAAAAGAGCUAGAUAGCUGUUCUUCCUACGAGUCAACAGGAGAUUCACUGAGAACCAUGUCAAGAUUUUCCUCUGCUUCUGCAAAAGAGGACAAAAAGAUGUACAAGUUCACAAGGUCCAGGGUCAGUGAGACAAGUUCCAGAGGAAACAGCCCAGAGCUGCAUGUUUUCAACCAGUCACCUGAACCACCCUUUGACUCUGAAUCCCCUGAAACAUCUACACAGAGCCGAGUUAGAGCUCAUCAUGUGGAGGCAUGUGAAGAGGAGGCCAGGUCAGACGUGUCAGAAUGUGGAGCAAAGAGAAAGUUCACCCAGAGCUUUUCAAAGUCUGAAGAGGAUGGGAAGAAGGAGGCAAAAGUGGAGCAAAGUGAAGAAAGGUUUGCGUCUAGGCAGGUCUCUCAGUACAGGCGAAGCACACGUAAAGAAGAGGAAGAGGAGAUGGAUGAUGAUGCCAUUAUUGCUGCUUGGAGAAGCCGACUAGAAGAAACUACAGCAAAGCUCCAGCGGAGAAGGGAAGAGUGACCAAGAUCAGACUACAGGAACACAAGCAGAGCCACACAGUCCCUGAAUCACUCAUCAUUAUACUUUUGAUAAUCCUUUGUGGUUUGUAGGGCAUUUCCUGCAGCUAGUUCUCUUCUUAAUCAAAAGCGAUGAAGGGAAGAGGUCAAGUUCUGCAAGUGUUUGUGGUUUGUCAGAAAGAAGAUGCUGGUAUUAAAUGAUCAAUGUAGGUAGGAACACAAUGUUAGAAGCCAUUAGGAGCCAGACGAUGUUUCAGCAGCAAAAGCAGGUAACGGUGACACCUCAAGUCAAAAGACCAAUCACAUCCCAUUUUGGUUAUUUCAAUUUCCUAGUGUCGUUAAAGACUGGACAUGUUUUUUUCUAGGAUCUUUUUGAUCAUAAAUGGAAGAAGCCAACAGCCUUUUCUAGGAACUUAAAGACUGUUUUUCUCUUAAUCAGUUUUACUUUAUACGACUGAGAAGAUAUUACCAGUGCACCCUUCAUGCCAACAUGCCUGAGUGCUUUAUGGUCAUUAAAUUAAAUCAAAGAACACACCACAGAAUGGACAAGGCCAGAUCAAUAAAUCUUAAAACCUGAUUCAAAGUUACCAAGGACUCUGCACAAGUAACCAUGACAGGAAGGAUGACUCCAGUCAGGAGGGCAUGUGUGUGGGCAUAAAACUGAAACAAGACUUAGGUGAUACUAAUUAGAAGACAGAACCAUUUAAAGGAACUGUAAUUUUUAUAGCAUCACCCAGCUGCCCACAGCAUCAACCUGCAGCUUCAUGUUUUAAGGGUAUUUUCAGAUGUAUGAGUGAUAUAAGAAAAUAACAAUGGCAGCAAGAUCUUUUUACAGUUUUUACAGCUGUAUGCUUCAGGGCACCUCUUGCCUAAUUUUAAAGAUUUGCCUAUUUGUGAUCUCUUCAUUUGAUUAUUGAAGGGCACCAUAUUAAAGAAAGAUGCAGUAAACACCAGCUGGCAAUAACCACAGUGUGACUGCUCUGUCUUCAUGGAGCAUCCCAGCAAUUUCAUCUUUGAAAUGACUCCAUGCUGAACUCAGAUCCAGUCAGAAGUCAUCCAUUAGUUGGGCAGAACAUUUCUCCCUCCUUGCUUGAGAGGAGAGCUUUAUGAAACUGCAAUACCUUUUAUGAAACUGCCAAUUAAUGGGGAGCUUUGUACAUUUUGCUCAUAGAAAUAUCCCAGUAGCUGUCACAACCUAUGGAGGUUCAUUCCCAAAGCACAUAAAAUGACCACAGGCCUAACUACGUUCAAAACUAAAAGCAAACCCCAGUUCUUCAACUUAAACUUCCCUCCCUCAAUAAUGUCGAGGCAUGUGCUCCUCAGUCUGUGAAUUGGAUCAAAAAUAUUGCCUAGAGGCACAGGGUCAGAGGAGAUUCCACUUAUGAAAAACAGGAGGCCCUCAAAAGGGUGCAACCUCAGUUGCUGAACAGACACCACAAAUAGGAUGGAUAAAAGCCCACAUGAGACUGGUAUGUGAGCAAGCAGAAGCUGACAGUUGCCCCUCAGGAAUAGAGUAUAAAGCUUUCAGUUCUGCAGGAGAUGUGAUCUGAAAGUCUGCUUCCUGGAAGCAAUCGCACCUGAACUGUUGCAUGGUGCUGCAGUUGCAUAAUUUAAUAGUUGUCAUGUUUCAUUCCAAGGUGAGUGUUCUUGGUGGUAGUGUACAUAAAAAAUUUGUAUGUCAUUAGGGAUAAAAGGGUCUAUGCCAGACAAGGUCAGAUAUUAUCCUCAUGAGUGGUAGAAGAGGUCCAUAUUAAAACAAAGAAGGUGUUUGAUUUCUUUUUGAACGUGGGCAGAUGAUUCAGACCCACGUGCCCUUCAUAUGCUCUGUCUCUCCCCUUCCUAUCUCCUUUCUUUUGAAACAGAUUUAAGUCCAUCUACUUUUAUAUUUUCAAACAAAACCCAUAAAAGGGCCAUAAAUAUCAUGACUCGCUAAAAUGAAAGCUGUUUUCUUCUUCUCCCAGGAGACUCCUGCCUGAGAGAGAGACAGAAAGAGUUCACCUCUUUGAAAAUUUCCUCCUCUGUCGAAGUAAAGCUGGUAUCUAAAAGCAGCUUUCAAGGCUUUGUUCUUAUCAUCUUGACCUGGCUUUGUACUGGCUUCUCUCUGUAUUGCUUGUGGAAGUGUGAAGGACGGGGCUAGGGGAAGGAGUUUUGGCUAUCACUGGCAGAGCAAGGGUCAUGCUUGGAAAGGGAUUUCAUUGUGGUUUCAGAAAACAUUAUAAAACUCAGUGCAGUGGCAGAAAGAAUGAAGAAACUCAUUCCCCUCCUGGAUCAGACCAGUGAUCCACCCUUUGUGUCUCUGAUGUUGGCCAGAACCAGAUUCACCUCAGAAGAUGUAAAGAAAGUUUAAGUGGGUAAUUAUGGAAUAACCUGCCCUGAGUAAAAUUUUCUCCCCUUCUGGCCCAAAGCCCUCCUUCAUCUCUCCUCCUUGGUUAGAGUUCAACUCUAUGCCCUGAAGCAUGACGGCUUCUCUCCCUUCCAAACCGCUUUUCAUCCUGGCCUGUCUCAUGUAACUGCCUAUGACAGUGAUGGGAUGUAUAGGUCUUGUCCACUGAGAGUCUGUGACAGAUCAUAGCCUUAUUGGAAAGAGAGGCAGAGAGGCUGAAGAGAAGGCGAGGGAGGAGAGCAUAAACUCAGAUGAAAUAUCCAUCAGGAAGAUGGAAAGAAGAGUGAGUGCCUGGGAAACUAAUUGCUGCCUGCUGAUCUGGGCUGUGGAGAUAGCUUGCAAGUGAGCAUUUUUAGUUUUCAGAGAUUUCAGCCUGGAGCACACUAGGAACGUCAACUCUUGGUUGAAAUUACUAAUCAUCAAUAUUUCCCUUUUUAUACAUAUAUUUUUAAUUUUUUUUAAGCUGUAGAAGUAUGAAGUAGUCCUAAGAAAACAAUUCCAUUAUAAUCUAAGGGUGCUUUUUCUUCCACUGCAGUUCACUACUCAUUUCUGAAAAGGUAUUGGCAUAAUUUGGGGUUCUUAGACACUGAACAUGGAUUAAAAUCAGGCUAUUUUUCUACUGCCCAAAAACUAUUUAGGAAUCCAAAGUUAGAUAUUCCUGCCUAGGUCCUUAUCCCUAUCACAGAGAGAUGGCUGCUCAUAAUCCUGAGUAGAGCAAAGCCCAGCUUCCGUGGAUUUGUUUGGCCAUCGCAUAGGGCAUCAAAAUUUAUGUGACAUAAUGCCAGAUGCCCCAAGGUAAUGAUUAGAAUUGUUUAGCACAUGAAAGCUCUUGACUUUUUAGAUAUUGUCAACAUUAUCGCAGGUGAUAAUAUACCACAAAAAGUAUUAACAAACUUCCAAGGAUUGCUUAAAUGUAUUUUCCAGAUGGACACUUUCCAGUUGUAUGCGGGUUGAAUGACAGCUUUCACUUAUUUGUCAACAAUUCCUAGGGAGAGGGAAAGAAGAGCUAGGUUUUGGAUUGUAUCCAAGUCUCAGUAAUGAUUAAUUUCACUCCCAUAGUAUCCAUUGUUUCCCAUAUUCCUUUCCCUCAAAAGUGUGGCGAAGGGAUCUGGAGUUUUCCAAGUGAUGGGUGUUGAAAUCACACCCAGUCUCCUGGAUACCACGCUGAGGUGUUCAAAGCAUCCUGCUGGUGUUGGCUGAGCACAGGAGAUUGUUCAUUAAGAAAAAUGACUGUAUCAUUCAUACUAGGCACAGCUGCAGUGAGCAGCUCAGUGGCAGUGUUCAAGGCUCUGUAAUCUCCUGUUAGUUGCCACUUGCCAUUAGAUUUUUUUACUGGCCAUAAAGGAGAAUUGUAGGGGAAAUGAGACGUGACGAUAAUUCCCUGUUCUUCCAGCUCCUUUAUCAAUUCAGUAACAGGACAAAUAGCAGCAGAAGGUAAUGUGUAUUGUGGAAUAUUAACUGCCUUACUAUGGGGCAAAGGAGCAGCUGUUUGCAACAGAUUAGCAGUUAGAAAUGCAUCUGUAGGAGAUAAACUCGGGGACAGAAAGGGCGAUGUCCCUCUUUCCCGUUUUCCCCACAACUGACCCUUCAGUACAUCCUUGCCCAGUAUAUUAAGGGCACCCAAAAGUGAGGUCAGGUGGAUUGCCUGUCCCUUAGACAGAAUCAGCUUUGCCCCGACCAGAGGGUGGUGGGUGGGUUUCCCAUUAUGGCCUGCCAUAGAAACUUGACUGCUUGCAAAGCAGAGGCUGCCCUUUGUAAGUGUCCUUACGUACCGUGGAUAUCCAGAUUCCUGUGUCAGUGAGGAAUGUUGUAGGGUAGGGAUGGAUCAUUAAUUUGGGAGCAUCAUCUUGGGACUGAGAUCCUCAGCAGUGGGAGUAGCACCCACCUUAAUUUCCUAAAUAUCCAGUCUAGGUUUAGUGCUGGUAGGUUUGGAUAUAUCCCUGAGCUUACAGCACUUGCAUGCUCUAUCCCUUUGAACCAUAUGGUGUCACCCCAUCUCCAAACACAGAUCCCAGAGGGUUAUGAGAAGUAAAUGAGGAAAACUUGUCUAUUGCUACAAAAGGAAAGUUGGCAUUUCGGAGACAGCUCUUUCCCUAAACAUAUUUUCCAUCAUCUUUUACACUCAGGAGUAACUGACCAGGUUUCUCAAUUUCUGCUUUUGUCUUUCACACGGAGGCAGGCUCGGCUCUUUUACAUUUUCUCUAGCUGAGGAUCUCUCUUGGUUUUUACCCUCUGGGAUGUAUAGUGGUAUAUCUGCCAGCCUACACUGAAGGACAUCUUGGAGAGUAAUACCGUUUAAGCUGUCUUAAUGGCCAGUGCUAAAGAUUCCCACACCCCCCCAGCUUCCAUUAGACACCAUCAGAAGUGUGCAGGCUCCCAAAUUACCUCCCAAGGAUGCAGUUCUGCUGGGAGGGGUUGUCAGGCUCCUGGAGUAAGGGGUGCUGUUCCAUCUAAUUCAGCUAAAAUCACUGUUUUCACCAUGGCUGCAUAAAGGCCCUUUGGUUCUUCCUGGCCACCUGUCCUGUCUACCUGACUCUGCUUCAAUCCAAUGCUGCUGCUUGCAGCACACAUCAGGCCUUAGCAUGAGCUGGGCUGGCCAAACCAGGAGCCUGAGUCCCAGAAAGGCCAGGGUCUUAAGCAAACAAACAAAAACAAACAAAAGGGCUUGGUUUUUUUUUAUUAUUAUUAUUAUUAAUCAGGAAAUGUAGUGAUAGAAAGUGGGGUAACCAUUUUAAACUGAAAAAGUGUAGCUUUAUAUUAAAUAAUGGGGUAGAUUUAUAUUAAAUAUUGGGAAGAAAUUCCUUACUGUGAGGGUGGUGAGGCCCUGGCACAGGUUGCCCAGGGAAGUUGUGGAUGCCCCGCACCUGGAAGUGUUCAAGGCCAGGUUGGAUGGGGCUCUGAGCAACCUGGUCUGAUGGAAAGUGUCCCUGCCCAUGGCAGGGGGGUGGGAACUGGAUGGCCUUUAUGGUCACAUCCAACCCAAAACAUUAUAUGGUUCUAUGACUGUUUUUUCUAUUCCACUUACAAAGUGCCACUUUGUAAGGGUGAUAAGAAUAUUAAUUCACUGAACUGACCUUAUACAUGUGUCCACAACUUGGUCUGAUGAUGCUUACACACUGUAGGAUAAUCCCUUAUUUCUGUGGCAAAUCUCUCUUGUGUCGACAAUUAAGUACCCUUUAUAAUUCCAUUUUUGGCUAUGAUUACAGCAACAUAGCUAUUACAAAUGUAUAGAAAAUGUAAAUAACUUACCUGAUAUUUUUCCUAGCCACCUUUCUCCUUGCCUCUCCUUCAGUUAUGAAUGCCUUGGAGAAGAGA